GACGAACGCUGGCGGCGUGCCUAAUACAUGCAAGUUGAGCGCUGAAGGUUGGUACUUGUACCCACUGGAUGAGCAGCGAACGGGUGAGUAACGCGUGGGGAAUCUGCCUUUGAGCGGGGGACAACAUUUGGAAACGAAUGCUAAUACCGCAUAAAAACUUUAAACACAAGUUUUAAGUUUGAAAGAUGCAAUUGCAUCACUCAAAGAUGAUCCCGCGUUGUAUUAGCUAGUUGGUGAGGUAAAGGCUCACCAAGGCGAUGAUACAUAGCCGACCUGAGAGGGUGGUUGGCCCCAUUGGGACUUAGACACGGCCCAAACUCCUACGGGAGGCAGCCGUAGGGAAUCUUCGGCAAUGGACGAAAGUCUGACCGGGCAACGCCGCGUGGGGUAAGAAGGUUUUCGGAUCGGAAAACUCUGUUGGUAGGGAAGAACGUAGGUGAGAGUGGAAAGCUCAUCACGUGACGGUAACUACCCAGAAAGCGACGGCUAACUACGUG
rnacentral:rRNA from 1 species